UGAACUUUAUGAAAGAAAUAUUUUUCUUGAAAAUAUAAUUUUUGAUUAAAUUAAAAAAAUUGUCAACUCUUUAAAUUAGAAAAUAAUUUUAAAUUUUAAAUUAAACCACUCAAAUAAUAGAGUAAUAGAGGAUUGCGGACAAUUGUAAUCAAUUUAAUGAAUCUUAAAUUAAUUGUAACAAGCAAAUAGAAAAAAAUAAAAUAUUAUUAUGAACAAAUAAAAAUAAAAAUAAAAAUUCAAACACAUAAUAAAAAAAUAGAAUAGCAAAAUAAUACUAACAUGAUAUGGAGAUUCGAGAUGCCGAAUAACGAUGAUUAAUGAACA
rnacentral:lncRNA from 1 species